rnacentral:rRNA from 1 species
AGUCGAGGGGCAGCGGGGGAGUAGCAAUACUCCCGCCGGCGACCGGCGCACGGGUGAGUAACACGUAUGAAACCUGCCCGUAGCAGGGGGAUAAGCGGAAGAAAUUCCGUCUAAUACCGCGUAACAACCCAUGGAGGCAUCUCUGUGGGUUUAAAGGAAGCGAUUCCGGCUACGGAUGGUCAUGCGUCGCAUUAGCUUGUUGGCGGGGUAACGGCCCACCAAGGCGACGAUGCGUAGGGGUUCUGAGAGGAAGGUCCCCCACACUGGUACUGAGACACGGACCAGACUCCUACGGGAGGCAGCAGUGAGGAAUAUUGGUCAAUGGCCGCAGGGCUGAACCAGCCAAGUCGCGUGAGGGAUGACGGUCCUAUGGAUUGUAAACCUCUUUUGUCAGGGAGCAAAGGGCGCCACGUGUGGCGCUUUGCGAGUACCUGAAGAAAAAGCAUCGGCUAACUCCGUGCCAGCAGCCGCGGUAAUACGGAGGAUGCGAGCGUUAUCCGGAUUUAUUGGGUUUAAAGGGUGCGCAGGCGGAAUGUCAAGUCAGCGGUAAAAUUUCGGGGCUCAACCCCGUCGUGCCGUUGAAACUGGCGUUCUUGAGUGAGCGAGAAGUACGCGGAAUGCGUGGUGUAGCGGUGAAAUGCAUAGAUAUCACGCAGAACUCCGAUUGCGAAGGCAGCAUACCGGCGCUCAACUGACGCUCAUGCACGAAAGCGUGGGUAUCGAACAGGAUUAGAUACCCUGGUAGUCCACGCAGUAAACGAUGAAUACUAACUGUCCGGGCAGAAUGAUGCCUGGGUGGUACAGCGAAAGCGUUAAGUAUUCCACCUGGGGAGUACGCCGGCAACGGUGAAAC